rnacentral:rRNA from 1 species
CUGGCGGCACGUCCUACACAUGGAAGAAAAACGACGCUAGGGGCAACUCUAGCGAGUGGCGAACGGGUUUAUCUCAUACAUCGGAACGUGUCCUGUCGAGGGGGAUAACCAGUCGAAAGAUUGGCUAAUACCGCAUGAGCUCGAGAGAGGAAAGUGGGGGACCGCAAGGCCUCACGCCAUUGGAGCGGCCGAUGUCCGAUUAGCUAGUUGGUGGGGUAAAGGCUCACCAAGGCGACGAUCGGUAGCUGGUCUGAGAGGAUGAUCAGCCACACUGGGACUGGGACACGGCCCCACUCCUACGGGAGGCAGCAGUGGG